rnacentral:rRNA from 1 species
GAUGAACGCUGGCGGCGUGCCUAAUACAUGCAAGUCGAGCGAACAGACGAGGAGCUUGCUCCUCUGACGUUAGCGGCGGACGGGUGAGUAACACGUGGAUAACCUACCUAUAAGACUGGGAUAACUUCGGGAAACCGGAGCUAAUACCGGAUAAUAUAUUGAACCGCAUGGUUCAAUAGUGAAAGACGGUUUUGCUGUCACCUAUAGAUGGAUCCGCGCCGCAUUAGCUAGUUGGUAAGGUAACGGCUUCCCAAGGCAACGAUGCGUAGCCGACCUGAGAGGGUGAUCGGCCACACUGGAACUGAGACGCGGUCCAGACUCCUACGGGAGGCAGCAGUAGGGAAGCUUCCGCAAUGGGCGAAAGCCUGACGGAGCAACGCCGCGUGAGUGAUGAAGGUCUUCGGAUCGUAAAACUCUGUUAUUAGGGAAGAACAAAUUUGUAAGUAACUAUGCACGUCUUGACGGUACCUAAUCAGAAAGCCACGGCUAACUACGUG